rnacentral:rRNA from 1 species
GUGAUGCCCUUAGAUGUUCUGGGCUGCACGCGCGCUACAAUGAUGCAAUCAAUGAGGGAGCACCGAGCCGAGAGGCUAGGAGGAUCUUAUAAUCUGCAUCGUGAUGGGGAUAGAUCAUUGCAAUUGUUGAUCUUGAACGAGGAAUGCCUAGUAAGCGCGAGUCAUUAGCUCGCGCUGAUUUCGUCCCUGCCCUUUGUACACACCGCCCGUCGCUACUACCGAUUGAAUCAUUUGGUGAGGUCCACGGACUGUCGUACUCUCUUCCUCGUGUUGAUUGUACUUCUUGGGAAGUGGCACGAACCUGAUGAUUUAGAGGAAGUAAAAGUCGUAACAAGGUUUCCGUAGG